rnacentral:lncRNA from 1 species
CCGGGCCGGGCCCACGCAGGUCCCUGCGCCAGCAGGCUGGGGAAGCUUGGCGAGGGGCGACCCGCCGCACUAGCACACGGGCUGCAGGGCACUCCGUCCCCCGAAAUCCUCAGGGCCGCCCCCAGAAUUGGUUAGACUGGCUAACAACGUAAUGCAG